rnacentral:rRNA from 1 species
UGGUGGAGCGAUUUGUCUGGUUAAUUCCGUUAACGAACGAGACCUCGACCUACUAAAUAGUUUGACGUAGCUUAGGCUAUGUACAAGCUUCUUAGAGGGACUGUCGGUGUGUAGCCGAAGGAAGUUCGAGGCAAUAACA